rfam:Loxodonta africana unplaced genomic scaffold scaffold_154, whole genome shotgun sequence.
GCAGCGGUGAUUCAGUGGUAGAAUUCUCAUCUUACAUGUGGGAGGCCCAGGUUCGAUUCCCGGUCAGUGUG